UACUUUUAUGAAACAUGCAGUAUUGUCAAAUUAUUUUUUUAUUAUUUCAACAAAGAAUAAUUAUUUUUAAAUUAUUACAGGUUAGUUGCAAAGAUGUGAACAAAUUUCAGUUGGCUUAUGCCAAUUUAAUUAAAGGAAAUAUGGAUGGAUUAAAGAAGAAAGAUAAGAAAAAAGUAACUUCUUCAACUAAAGCAACUCAAUGAGAAAUGUACAUAUUUAUUUUUGUAAUAAAAUAAGUUAAGUUUUUA